GUCGACAGCAGACCCCUUGGACCAUGUCCAGUCUUGGAAACUAAGCAGGCUCAGGCUUGGCUAGUACUUGGGAGGUAGACUCCUUGAGAUACCAGAUGCUGUAGGUU
rnacentral:rRNA from 1 species